rnacentral:rRNA from 1 species
AGCGUAGGUGGCCUAACAUGUCAACCUGUGAAAACCCCGGAGCUCAACUCCGGACUUGCAGUUGAAACUGGUAGGCUUGAGGACGGUAGAGGAAGACGGAACUGCCAGUGUAGGGGUAAAAUCCUUAGAUAUUGGCAGGAACGCCGGUGACGAAGGUGGUUUUCUGGGCCGGUUCUGACACUGAUGCUCGAAAGCCAGGGGAGCGAACG